rnacentral:rRNA from 1 species
UGGGGAAUAUUGGACAAUGGGCGAAAGCCUGAUCCAGCCAUGCCGCGUGUGUGAAGAAGGUCUUCGGAUUGUAAAGCACUUUAAGUUGGGAGGAAGGGCAUUAACCUAAUACGUUAGUGUUUUGACGUUACCGACAGAAUAAGCACCGGCUAACUCAGUGCCAGCAGCCGCGGUAAUACAGAGGGUGCAAGCGUUAAUCGGAAUUACUGGGCGUAAAGCGCGCGUAGGUGGUUUGUUAAGUUGGAUGUGAAAUCCCCGGGCUCAACCUGGGAACUGCAUUCAAAACUGACUGACUAGAGUAUGGUAGAGGGUGGUGGAAUUUCCUGUUUAGCGGUGAAAUGCGUAGAUAUAGGAAGGAACACCAGUGGCGAAGGCGACCACCUGGACUAAUACUGACACUGAGGUGCGAAAGCGUGGGGAGCAAACA